UAGUUAUGUGUAUACAUUGUUACUAGAACAUUCAUUCAAUUGUUCGCCAAUUGCGUCUUCCACUGUAGUCUAUAGUGAUACCUAUGUAGUAAAGAAUGCGUUGCUGAAUGACCCAGCCAGCCCCUUGAAAUACGCUCCAGCCCUGAGCUCAUGUGAAUGCCAAGAGAGGUAGGGAGCCGGCGGGCGCAGUGGGGCGGGGCGGGUAGGCUCGGCUCGGCGCAACUCGACUCGAUUCGGCUCUCAAGUGAACCACAUUGGCGCACGUUCCAUUGACACUCGUCACGGUGGCAUUAGGGGGCAGCACCGCCAGCCACCGACGUUGCUUUACAGUGGCUCAAGUAACGGCUCUCUGGUUACUUGACGCGCUGUUGAGGUUAUAACCAAACGAAUUGGCUAGAGGCCGGCCUUAUAUACAUAUAGCUGGCGCCAUCUGGCACUACGGAUCAUAGCACUUUCUGCCAUACUAUAGCAUGACACACACAGACACAGACAGCAAAAAGGUCAAGCGCUAUCAUCAAAUUGCAUUUUCUCAGCGCAAUUUGAGGCGACGCGUGGACAUGACAUCUUAUCAGCAACUCAAAAAA